GCAACCCUUAGUAGAGCGGCGCACGGGUGCGUAACACGUGGAUAAUCUGCCUGGAUGCCUGGGAUAACCAGUCGAAAGAUUGGCUAAUACCGGAUAAGCCCACGGUUUCUUCGGAGACUGAGGGAAAAGGUGGCCUCUGUAUACAAGCUAUCACAACCAGAUGAGUCCGCGGCCCAUCAGCUAGUUGGCGGGGUAAUGGCCCACCAAGGCGACGACGGGUAGCUGGUCUGAGAGGACGAUCAGCCACACUGGAACUGAGACACGGUCCAGACUCCUACGGGAGGCAGCAGUGGGGAAUUUUGCGCAAUGGGCGAAAGCCUGACGCAGCAACGCCGCGUGUGUGAUGAAGGUCUUUGGAUUGUAAAGCACUUUCGACCGGGACGAAACCGUAAAGCCUAAUACGCUUUGCCUUGACGGUACCGGGAGAAGAAGCACCGGCUAACUCUGUGCCAGCAGCCGCGGUAAUACAGAGGGUGCAAGCGUUGUUCGGAAUUAUUGGGCGUAAAGCGCGUGUAGGCGGCUUUGCAAGUCGGGUGUGAAAGCCCUCAGCUCAACUGAGGAAGUGCGCCCGAAACUGCAGAGCUUGAGUGCCGGAGAGGGUGGCGGAAUUCCCCAAGUAGAGGUGAAAUUCGUAGAUAUGGGGAGGAACACCGGUGGCGAAGGCGGCCACCUGGACGGUAACUGACGCUGAGACGCGAAAGCGUGGGUAGCAAACAGGAUUAGAUACCCUGGUAGUCCACGCCGUAAACGAUGAGAACUAGGUGUCGUGCGAGUUGACCCCCGCGGUGCCGUAGCUAACG
rnacentral:rRNA from 1 species